rnacentral:lncRNA from 1 species
UUUAGAUCAUUCAGGUAUUUGAUGCAACUUUUUCUGUCAAAUGAAAUUUGCUUGGGGUAUUUUUGUUUGUAGUUUAUCUGUUUUCUAUUAAUAUAUUUAGUGCGAACUACCACGCGAUGUCGAAGUCUAUAUUCAUCGUUCUGGGAGAACAAGGAGAUCAGGUAUAUGCAUAAGUUUAGAAACAACCUUUGGGUACUGCCAUACCUAUUAAGUUUUAAUGGAGAUCACUAUCCUACAAUGUUUGCUUUAAAAUGUUAAAUUUAUUAUUGUCAACACCAAAUUUAAAUUUAUUGUAUAAGAAAAAACAUUCCAACCUGCCACACAUUCUUAUUUUGCAAGUUGCAUUAACAUAUUGUUGUAAACAAGUUUUACUCUGGGAUGUUUAAUGUGAGUUGCCUAUUAAAAAUGAUGAAUAUGAUCCAAACUAUUUUAGACAUGUGGUAUUGCAAAUUAUUGCGAUUUCAUUGUGGGACAACCUUUUAGUAUUUCAAUUGAAAUUUAACAGUAAUAAGAUUGAUUGUGAGUCUUCUUUAAUUACCAGCUUUAUGUUUUCUCACCUAUGAUCCAGUUUCCGCAAAUUUAUAUUCAGAUUUUUACUAAUAGUCACCACAAAGUCCCAACACGACUAUGAAUUAGACAUGUGAGAGAGAGAGAGAGAGAGAGAGAGAGAGAGAGACAGAGAGUUGAUAUUAAUAACCUGUUCAGAUUGUAAUAUCCCAUGAUUAUUUGACGUCGUGAUUCUUAAUAGAUUGGCAACUCUGAACGGCUUAUUGUUGAGUUUAUUUCUUUGUAAUGAUUUUUCAUUCCCCAAAAAUCUGCCUUAUCAGUAUGCUAGCAGUGGGAUCACCUGUAAGUUUUAUUCAAAUUUAUGCAUCUAAUUUCCUUAUUUCUCUUUCUUCUACCAAUUAUGCAUGUAAAUUCGAAUAGAUUAGCUGAUGAGUAAAUUCGAAUAGAUUAGCCCUGAUCCGAUUUUAAUUAGUGGUUUUAUGCAAGUAUUGUCCAUCUAAUUAAUUGAAUAAUUAUUAGAGAUAUUCUUUUGUUUGUGGAUAACAAACAAAAACAUUGGUUUCUAAAUAUUUUAAGUAGAAACCAUAAGAGGUUUAUGACUACCUCUUAUGGUUUUGACUAAGUUACUCCAUUGGAAUCAAGUAAACCUAAAAAUAGUCAUGUGAUGUAAGUAAUGAGUGCUACUUACAUAUACUGAAAAAUGUGGUGUGCACUCUAGAAGUGAUUAUUAAUAAUUGCUAUUUUGCAAUAAUCAACGUGAGCUACGAAGCAUCCCUAAUUGAGAUGUAGGUAUUGAUAUUUUAUACCGCCAAGUGCUUGAUUUUUUGAUUCACAAGGUACCUGCAAUUGUUUUAGCAGUAAACAAAACUUGACGCAUGGCGGGGUGAGUACUGAAUCUUUGCAUAUUUGAAACAUUUGGUAUUUUAUUUGUGUCUCCUUCCUACCUUUUAUAAGAUAACUAAUCUACCUGGACCAUAGGUAUUGUUUAUAAAAAAAAUUGUUGUUUCUUUAUUUGCUUGUGCUUUCUUUUCUGUUUAGAAAAUUACUACUGUCUUUGAUAUUUUCACUGGCUUUCAUGCAUUCUUUUAGGUGUCAGUGGGAUGAUUUAUUUGCAAAUGCAGAUGACAUUGAAUGCUAUAAGAUAUUGAAAUCUUUAAGAAACUAAUCCAUACUCAUGCAUCCCUAGAUGAAUUCAAUUCUGGUAACAAAAUUCCCAUCCACUAAUCCAUUGCUACUCUUUGUCUUUGGUAUAUCAUAUAUGAUAGUGGAAUUCCGCAUCAUAGUUAUUUGUACUACUUAAAGUUUGGUUGUUUAGCAAAGCAUUUGGGUUGUUGAACAAACCCAUGGACCACUAUCCGAUGACACUCUUUGUAUUGGCCGGACAAUACUGAAGUUGUAAACAUAAUGGUCCCUUUGUAUAACUAAAACUUUUGGUUGAUUAGCUGCCGAUUUGGUUGCGUAACAGACCUAUUGACCAUGGACAUAUAUGUGGUUAUGAUGCAUUUAGUUAUUUUUAGCUUGACAAAAUCUAAUUCAGUGGACUUAAUUUUGUUUUCAGUCUUAUUAAAUCAAUUGCUUAGCACCAUCGACCAAUAUUCGGUUCAGAUUGACUUAGGGCCUUUGAUUGGAAGCUUCAUGGUCAAAGGAUUUGAGACUUUGAGGUCAUAGAAUUUAGGUUUGUAUAGGUUAUUGUUGCUUGAUAUGCAACAAUCUAGAUAUGGUAUUACUGCACUGGACAAAUUUAAAUUAGAGUUGCAAGGAAUUAUAUUUUUAUUUCCUUUGUAUGAACAGUUACAGAUCAUUGGCAUUAGGUGAUCUUCUCCAAUUUUUUCUUAACAAUGACGUUGCAUUGUGAAGCCAAGGCAGGUACACAGAUUUAAUAUUAAUUACUCAAGUUAGAGUUGAUUGUUGCAUAUUUUUUCAACUGUCAAUCUUCUCUCAAUAGGUGCUUGGCUUUUUUUGGAAUUAGAAGGUUUGAACCUAUGGAUGAGCUGAUCUCUCUUGAUUUCCCUUCUUAUGCAUGUAGGUAUUAAAAGUUUAGGAUAUGUUCACAUAUUUACAAUGGAAAAAAUUCCUAUCAAUGAGUAGAGACAACUACGGAUAGUGUCAGAUGUUGAGGUAUGUCAAGUCAUUUUAAGCAAAAGUGUGCCAUGAAACCUUCAAGAAAGAUCGAUAAGAACCAGGAAAAAGUGGCAGUCACUGAAUGUUUCGUAUAAAUUAAAUGAUGUCUCGGGCCAAUAUUUUCAUCCCAUCACUGAAUAUCCAUCCCAAACCUAGCUGCGAUAUCUGCAAUGAAAUUAGACUCCUUUAGAUUUCAAACUCAGUUUAGAAUAGAACUCAAAUAUUUUUAUUACUAUUACGUUCUCCAAACAAUAUUUAUAUGUUGAAACUGCUAAUGUUUAUUAAUUUCGCUUAUUCAUCUCUCCAAUCUUCUUCAAUUUUAUUUGAGUUACGAUUUCAAUACAGGAAACCAUGUUUAUAGGAAAGCCAUUUUUGUUCAUUUAUUAUGAAUAUUAAUCUUGGGCAUCACCAAUUACAUGAGAAAUCUGAAUUUUGGGUACACGAGUUUUGGAUCAACUUAAAAAUUGAUAAUGAGAAAGAUCGAUGUGAAAGUAGCAGUUUAAGAACUUGAGAGCUGGUAUAUUUUGCAAUGCCUGUACAUUGGUUAGAGUUGUUAAUUAUUGGUAAUUUUAACCAUGUUUUGCAUAUGUAUAGUGAUAUGAUAUGGAUUUAGCUCUAUAAUGAGAAAAUUAAAAAUCAGAUUCUUUAUUUUCUUCCAUAUAUCUUACAUUCUGAUUCUUGGCAGGUUAAAGUUGCUCAUCUGGUGUUCCAGGAAAGAAGAGGAGGCCAAAACUAAUGUUGGACAUGAAGAUUUUGCCUCCUUGGAUGAUCACGCAAUCCAUGAAUCUUACAAAUGAGUAAUGUGGAGGAAUAAUGAUACCUCACGAAAUAAUAUUAUUUUCAGAGAAGACCAAGUUGAUGUACAAAAGGAAGUGUGUUGGAUCAAGGAGACUGCACGGCUAUUGUUGAAUAUUGACAAGAAAGAUAUGACAGAAUUUAAUGACAGGAAGGGUGUAGUGCCCUAGCAGGAAUCAGUAGCAAAGGAUGGGUGCAGUUGAAUUAUCAGACAUAGUAACUAAAGCAGUGAUUACAUGACAGUGAUAGAAACCAUGUCACAAGCAUGUAGAAUCAGUUAAGGCUGCAUGCAACAACAACGCAAUUCAGCAGUAACAAAGAUGAUGCAACUGGAAUAGACCAAGACUAGGGACAACUCUGUUUCAGAUCUAUUUUUUUUUUUACCCCUUUGUAUAGACUUUGUUAUUUAUUUGUUCAAUUAUAUGUAUGUGGGCUUGAUGUAGGCGGGCAUAUGGGGUUAGUUAAACAAUGAUCUACAAAUAGAGCCAUGUCUUUAUAGGGAAAUUUCAACCUGACAGUACUU